rnacentral:rRNA from 1 species
AUUGAACGCUGGCGGCAGGCCUAACACAUGCAAGUCGAGCGGAUGAAGGGUGCUUGCUCCUGGAUUCAGCGGCGGACGGGUGAGUAAUGCCUAGGAAUCUGCCUGGUUGUGGGGGAUAACGUCCGGAAACGGGCGCUAAUACCGCAUACGUCCUGAGGGAGAAAGUGGGGGAUCUUCGGACCUUCCGCUCUCAGAUGAGCCUAGGUCGGAUUAGCUAGUUGGUGGGGUAAAGGCCUACCAAGGCGACGAUCCGUAACUGGUCUGAGAGGAUGAUCAGUCGCACGGGAACUGAGACACGGUCCAGACUCCUACGGGAGGCAGCAGUGGGGAAUAUUGGACAAUGGGCGAAAGCCUGAUCCAGCCAUGCCGCGUGUGUGAAGAAGGUCUUCGGAUUGUAAAGCACUUUUAGUUGGGAGGAAGGGCAGUAAGUUAAUACCUUGCUGUUUUGACGUUACCAACAGAAUAAGCACCGGCUAACUUCGUG